UACGGGGGGGGCAAGCGUUGUUCGGAAUUACUGGGCGUAAAGGGCUCGUAGGUGGCCAACUAAGUCAGACGUGAAAUCCCUCGGCUUAACCGGGGAACUGCAUCUGAUACUGGUGUUGGACGUGAUUGGGAGAGGGACGUAGGAAUUCCAGGUGUAGCGGUGAAAUGCGUAGAUAUCGAGAGGAACACCGGUGGCGAAGGCGGCCAACUGGACGAAUACUGACGCUGAGACUCGAAAGCGUGGGGAGCAAACAGG
rnacentral:rRNA from 1 species